rnacentral:rRNA from 1 species
UUUUCCUACGGGGGGCAGCAGUGGGGAAUAUUGGGCAAUGGGCGCAAGCCUGACCCAGCAACGCCGCGUGAAGGAAGAAGGCUUUCGGGUUGUAAACUUCUUUUGACAGGGAAGAGUAGAAGACGGUACCUGUCGAAUAAGCCACGGCUAACUACGUGCCAGCAGCCGCGGUAAUACGUAGGGGGCGAGCGUUAUCCGGAUUUACUGGGUGUAAAGGGAGCGUAGACGGUUCUGCAAGUCUGAAGUGAAAGCCCGUGGCUUAACCGCGGAACGGCUUUGGAAACUGUGGAACUGGAGUGCUGGAG